UGGACUUCAAUAGCCACUCUAAAACCACUGAAGCACUGUUCAGUAUCUUGGUGAACUUUGAAGGGGGGCACAGGAGCCUCUGCAAGGAAUCCAAAGGGACCAGCUGGAUAUGGUGAACCUAUGGAAUUACAUGGAAGAGCAGAGCAUUCAGAUUUUCUCUCACUCUUGGAGGCCGAGUCAUUGCUCUUUGGGGCUUCCCUCACUCUGGGACUGUCUGGAAAUGGCUGAAGCUCUGUGUGUCUGGCAGAUACUUCCUUUGAGCUCAGGAGAAACCAUAUACUGCUGGAGAUGCUUGGCCCAGGCAGCAAGUCUGAGCUGCACAGAUAUGGAAGUGGGUGCCCAGAUAGCCAAGGGAUGGCACUUUGAUGUUCACAACAGGUGCUUAGGAAGUAGCUAAACUGUGAACCUUGGGAUGACUGAAUAACUUUCAGUUUUCAUAGCUGGAGAUAUGACUUAGAAAUGAGCAGAAAGCAAAUGGCAAGUAUUAAGUAUU
rnacentral:lncRNA from 1 species